rnacentral:rRNA from 1 species
GUAGGUGCGGAAGGAUCAU